rnacentral:rRNA from 1 species
AUUGAACGCUGGCGGCAGGCUUAACACAUGCAAGUCGAGCGAGCGGCGGACGGGUGAGUAAUGUCUGGGAAACUGCCUGAUGGAGGGGGAUAACUACUGGAAACGGUAGCUAAUACCGCAUACCAUCAGAUGUGCCCAGAUGGGAUUAGCUAGUAGGUGGUGUAAUGGCUCACCUAGGCGCAGAUCCCUAGCUGGUCUGAGAGGAUGACCAGCAAAACUGGAACUGGGACACGGUCAGGAUGACUACGGGAGGCAGCAGUGGGGAAUAUUGCACAAUGGGCGAAAGCCUGAUGCAGCCAUGCCGCGUGUGUGAAGAAGGCCUGCGGGUUGUAAAGCACUUUCAGCGAGGAGGCGUUACUCGCAGAAGAAGCACCGGCUAACUCCGUGCCAGCAGCCGCGGUAAUAC